rnacentral:misc_RNA from 1 species
CCAAGGUAAAAAAAAGAAACUGUCAAUCCCAUUCAUACAGAAAAUUCCUCUCAAUGCCACCGGAGCACUGGCCAAGAAAGAAGGCCUCCUCACUCAAAUAGAAUUAUCAUAAGAGGAAAAAAAAUUGCAAAAACGGGUUUUAAAAGGCAUUUGAAAUAUGCUGAAGUGUAGGUUGAGUAUCAUUGCAAUAAGCUUGAGCACUACAGAUGGUAACUAGUUGCCUGAUUUUAUUAGACCUUUUGUUUUCAGAAAUACACGUCAUCCACCGAAAGAGGUUACAUUGUACUCGCCAUUCAUCUGCUUCGUAUUUAUGCCAUCGAUAGCGCAAGUCUCUCAAAAAUGUGUAUCCCCCAGCUGAAUUGUUGGCCACACAUGCACAAGUUUCAAAAAUUCUCCCGCCAGCACAGUUGUUGAAAUUGGAUUCUCACUGCAAGCAAGAAAGUUACUGUCCACAAAUUUUGUGGUUUGCAAGCCUCUAUGACACUUCGAUAUACAAAUAUGGUGGCAAUCAGUGUUAUAAAAUUAACAAAUGUUUAAAUCUUUUACUGGUUCAUCAUCAUCUUCAAUAUCCCAACUUAAAUCCUCCUCUUCUUCUGCAGCACUCAACCCCUUUCGCAUAUCAAUCUUGUUUGGACUUCCACUGUGACUCACUUUCUUCUCAUCAAUGCUGCUCAGAUCCUCAAUCUCAUCCCACCCAAGAUCUUCCUCCUCAGGCAUUGAUAGAUGGCUGGAUAUAACAGAAACAUCACUAUCUUUAGAAGAUUCACCGUUAUCACCCUUCCCUUCUGAUCCCGCUUUCUCGUCAGAUAUUGAUAGUGUCUCUUCUUUACUCUUCUUCUCCAAAUCCAAUUUAUCACCGGCUACAUUGUCACCACCACUCAAUAUCUUCUCUUCCUUUGAUUCCACGACAGAGAUUUCCUCCUUCACAUUCAUAGUUUGCUCAGUCUGUCCAAUGCUCGCCUUAUUAAUUUCAUCUCCCUUCACAAUUUGCUCUGAUUGUUUAUCAUGCAUGUCCUUCUCCUCAUCUUCGGUAAUUUUUGCAGAAUCUUUGCUACCCAAAUGGCCAUUUUGCUUGAAAUUGGCCUUCGAAGCGGAAUUCCUCUCAUCUUCCUUCUUCACGUUCUCUUCAUCAUCAUCAAAUUCCCAACUCAAGUCGUCCUCUUCGGUCGAAAUUGCUCGCUUCACAAGAUUAGCUCUCACGUCUUCAGCUUGCUUGAGCUUAUAUAGCUUAAAAUAGUAUCUACACCAAAAUGUCUCCUCAUCAACACUAUUGGGCACAACCUUUUUGUAUAUACUCUCCGCAGCACCAUUCUCCGCAAGCAAGUUUUCAAUCUCCUCUCUCUUCUCCUCCAAAACAAACCUUAAUUUCCAUUUCUUGUAAUCCUCCAAAUCCUGUGUCUCCUCACAGUACGUGCUUGCAUCACCUUGAAUCGCCCGUACCUGAGCAUCAAAACGACUAUAUGGUUUCGAAUUCAAGCUCUGCUGACUAGUAAUACUCUUCUCGUUAUUAUUAUCUGAUGAAUCGGAUUCGUGAUCGGCGGCAAGGAUUGCCUCUUUGCCCUGUGAAAUGAUCUGGACCGUAUUUUUCAACACGGAACUACCAACCUCGUCAAUGGCGUGCCCCACGGUCUCUAAAGAUCCAUGUGCCACCUCGAUCUCCUUCUUAAGACCCGACCCAAAUUCCUUCAGAUCGCGACGGUAGAUUUCAAUGACGGAUUCGGAUUUCGUUGAUAGGGUUUUGAUCAGACCCCCGAAGCUCCACCCGGCACCACUGCUGGACCCAAUAUCAGAACGGUCAGGCUUAGAAUUUUGCAGUUUAGGUGGGGAGCUGGGACCUGAGUCCGAUGGUGGUCGAUCAGAGGAGGGUUUAGAUUCGGAAUCGGAUUUAGGAAAAUCUGGUUCGUCUGCAAAUACUGAUUUGAAGAAAUCCAUCGGGAAUUCUAAAAGAAUGGUUAAGGAAGUGAUUGAGUUGCAAGAACAUUAAGAAAUAAGCGCCUUUGUAAUGCCAAAAUGAGCAGAGGCG